AUGAAUGACAAUGUUGUACAAUGGCGUUUUGCGGGCUUUUAUGGUCAUCCGAAUUGGAGGGAUCGUAAUUUAUCUUGGGAUGAUAUCCGUAACUUGCAUAAUAAAGGUGAUCACCCUUGGGUGGUUUUGGGCGAUUUUAAUGAAAUUCUUCUUUCUUCAGAAAAAGAGGGAGGCAAUGCGAGACCUAAUACAAUGAUGAGAGACUUUCGUAAUUGUUUGGGAGAAUGCGGGUUGGAAGAUAUGGGAUGUAUUAGGGACCCCUUCACUUGGAGGAGGGGUGACAUUAGGGAGAGGCUUGACUGCGCGGUUUGUAAUGUGAAAUGGGCAAACAAGUUCCCUAGAUCUGCAGUUAUAAAUGAAGAACAUGUACAUUCUGAUCAUCGCCCUCUCAUUCUGGAUACAGAAUAUUUUGAUGGCAAUAUUUUUAACCAACCAAGAAGCCGAAUGAAAUAA
rnacentral:rRNA from 1 species